CCGCUGUAAAUUCAGCUUGCUCACGAAGGAACGUUGUCGUUAUCUCGGGUAACAGAGACUUCAAGUUGGUUGUUUCGACGGUCGCUCAUGAACUGGGACAUGCUCUAGGUGCUGUUCACGAUGGCGUCGGUACAUCGCGGCAAUGCUCAGCAAGUGAGCGGCACCUUAUGGCCCCAUCCUUGGGUUUCAACCGAAUGUUGACAUUUUCCACAUGCAGCAAGAGAGACAUCGACACAUUCUUGUCGACGAAGAACAGCUCUUGUUUGUUCAGCCGUAGAUGCCCAAGUGCUCCCAUAUCAAACCACGAGCAACAGAAAAGGAGAAAUAAUCAAUGCUUGAGUCACAAGAACCAAACUGAAGUGUUCUUGAAUGCUACCGUACUUUACGGGUGCAUAUUGAGCUGUUACGUUAAACUACCAGAGACAAAUCAAGUAACUUCGUUCGAAACAAGCGCUCCUGAUUGGACGAAUUGCGAGAUCAAUCAAGUGUGCAAGGUAUGCAUCGCAGGAUUAUGCGUUUAGAACAAAUACCUCACUCUUUUGACUGCUGCAGUAGUCAUUGGACUGUUUGGUCAAUAAAA